rnacentral:rRNA from 1 species
AGAUACCCUAUUAUUUUAAGCUAUAUAUUGGUAGUAAUUAAUAAUUUAUGAAAUCAUAAGAUUUUGGCGGUAUUUUAAGCUUAUUAGAGGAAUUUGCUCUGUAAUGGAUACAACGCCUUAAUCUUACUUAAUUUGGUUUUAAAGUCAGUUUGUAUACCACUAUAUUUAAUUAUAUUGAAUAAUUAUAUUUAAGAUUUUUUUUUUAUAAAAAAUAUAUUAAGUCAAGGUGCAAUUUAUAAUUAUGAAUGAAGUGAAUUACAUUAAUUUUAAUUUUACUUAAAUAUUGAAAAAAAAUUAUAGGAUUUAAUAGUAAAA